UGGGGAAUAUUGCACAAUGGGCGAAAGCCUGAUGCAGCAACGCCGCGUGAGGGACGACGGCCUUCGGGUUGUAAACCUCUUUUAGCAAGGAAGAAGCGAAAGUGACGGUACUUGCAGAAAAAGCGCCGGCUAACUACGUGCCAGCAGCCGCGGUAAUACGUAGGGCGCAAGCGUUAUCCGGAAUUAUUGGGCGUAAAGAGCUCGUAGGCGGUUUGUCGCGUCUGCUGUGAAAACCCGAGGCUCAACCUCGGGCCUGCAGUGGGUACGGGCAGACUAGAGUGCGGUAGGGGAGAUUGGAACUCCUGGUGUAGCNGGUGGAAUGCGCAGAUAUACAGGAAGAACCACCGGAUGGCGAAGGCAGAUCUCUGGGCCCGUAACUGACGCUGAGGAGCG
rnacentral:rRNA from 1 species